AUGAGUCUCAUCUGCUGGAACUAUCGAGGCCUGGGGUCGGACUCGACAGUUGGCGAGCUUCGCUGGCUUGUAAAGCUUUACCGACCCUUCCUCCUAUUUCUGUCCGAGACAAAGAUGAGGGAUUAGAGAGUGAAGAAUUUCAUGUGGUCUUUGGGUUUCUCUGGAUGUUAUGCUGCCAGCAUUGAUGGCCUCAGCGGGGGUCUGGCUCUUUUAUGG
rnacentral:rRNA from 1 species